rnacentral:rRNA from 1 species
AUUGAACGCUGGCGGCAUGCUUUACACAUGCAAGUCGAACGGCAGCGCGGGCUUCGGCCUGGCGGCGAGUGGCGAACGGGUGAGUAAUACAUCGGAACGUGCCCAGUAGUGGGGGAUAGCUCGGCGAAAGCCGGAUUAAUACCGCAUACGACCUGAGGGUGAAAGCGGGGGAUCUUCGGACCUCGCGCUAUUGGGGCGGCCGAUGGCAGAUUAGCUAGUUGGUGGGGUAAAGGCCUACCAAGGCGACGAUCUGUAGCUGGUCUGAGAGGACGACCAGCCACACUGGGACUGAGACACGGCCCAGACUCCUACGGGAGGCAGCAGUGGGGAAUUUUGGACAAUGGGCGAAAGCCUGAUCCAGCAAUGCCGCGUGUGUGAUGAAGGCCUUCGGGUUGUAAAGCACUUUUGGCGGGAACGAAAAGGACUGUGCAAAUACCACGGUUCGAUGACGGUACCCGCAGAAUAAGCACCGGCUAACUACGUG